GUUUAUGUUUAUUGUUGAUUCGUGAGCUGUGAUUUAAUCAGUUUAAAGAAUCAGAACCUGAAAAGCAAUUGGUGCCAAUGCUUCUUUAAGGGGCCAAGCUAGUGUAAUUCUAGUGCUGGACCCCCGCCUGGCAGUAAAUGGGGAGGGCUGCUUCAGGAAGGGCAUCUUUGCCAAAUCAAACCUGCGGAUCACCAAAACUGAGAUUUGCAUAUCGGAGCAGUCAGGGCUGGGUUAACAACGAUAGCCUCCGAUACUGUUGGCUAACGGGAUGCUCAUAGAAACACUACUGCUGUUAGCCAGUGACAAAGAGGAGAAGGCAUGUGAGGAGGCAGUGAGACAGACUAAAUGUAAAGAGAGCGAAGGCUCGUAUGAUGGAGAGAAAGAAGAUAGAUAUCUUAUGUGUGCAGGGAAGUAAGGCCAGGAGCACAGGAGGCAGACUGAAGCUGUUCUACCAUGGUGAGGAAGAGCGAGUGAAGAUGAAGAGUGUCCGACAGGACAAUGAGUUUGAAGCUGGAAAUCAAAGGCUUGAUGUUGAAUGUUGUCAGUGUGCAUGGCCCACAGGUUGGCUGUCAGGUAGAAGAGAAUUUUGUAGUGCUGGGAUGGUGUCUGGUGUUUCCUCUGGACAGAGGAAAAAGGAGACUUUGUGCAAAAAUGAGGAAGCACAGGAAAGUAUUCAAAGGAAAGGGCUGUCACAGAAACAGUGGGAUAGUGAGGGAGAUGAAGAAAGUAGGCAGACUGGGAGGUUAGGCGUACAGCAGAGGUGGCAACGUGAGACCGGACACUAAGGAAAGAGAAGAAGACUUGUACUGACUGGCUAUGCAGAGCAAUCGAGCUGAAAAGGAUGUGCAGCAGCAACUUAGAGCGAUGAAGGACAGAGAUAGAAAGAAAACCCCAACCCUCAUGGGUGAAGAGUUUGUGUUUACAAGGUGGAAGGAGUAUUUUUAGGAGCUGACGAAUGAAGAAAAUGAGAGAGAACAUACAGAUGUGAUGCUUGCUGUGAGAGGUCAGAAGGAGCUUCGGACGGAUGCAUCUGUGUCGAACAUGAUAGUGUCACAGCCAGGGGGAUCAGCGUCCAGCUGAUCUGAGGUUUGUUCUAUCUUUCUCUCUCUCCUCUUCCCUAUCGCCGGGGUUCACGCCCUCGGUGAGAGGAAACACCUGAGCCUAAUCAGGGCGGCCAGCAUUUAAGCCAGGAGGAGACUGCUGUUCUUCGCUGGAUCGUUGUCUGCCACGCACCUCCUGGAUUCCCUCCCUGUGUGAUUCUUGGUGUCGAGUGUGGACGAGUGAACCUGUGGCCGUGAGUGCGGAGAGUUUGGAGAACGCAUGACUACCCCCUUGGAUUUCCCCGUAGCCCCGUCCCUCACUUAAUUGUAUAUAGCACUGCCCUGCACUUCCUGUAAAUACACAAGGUGGAUCCUGUAAAUAAAUUAUUGUGUACAGCUGA